UUCAUUUCAAUGUGCCUCUCUGUUAGGAGGGCGCUCUGCUCUCUGUGGCUGGCUCUGUUUUCAGAUGACUUCCAGAGUGUGUGCAGGCUCAGGCCUUUAUGUGCUCUCUGCUCUCUCUGUGUUCGCUCUUUCUUUUUUCAGUCUCUGUUUAUCAGGGACUGUUUUGUUAGGAGCUGGUUGAGGAGUAGACCUGGCAGGAGAACGGCUGAACUGGAUUUGAACUAAAGAAUAAGAAAGGAGGGGAAGAAGAGAAGAGAACAAACAUCGAAAAGAGAAGUGCAGAGAGAAGAGAGGAGCCAACGUCGUUGGAAAGACAGAGAGAGACUGAAAGGUACAACCUGCAAUCAACAAGGUGGCUGAGUCAACGUUUAUCUUAUUAAUGAGGACACGGAGAUGGUCUAUGUUCAGUGGUCUUUAUGCUAAGUCCCCUAAUGUUCCCUGAUUAAGAGGUGAUGACUACUCCAUUCCACUACCAUUGUCAACUUUCUCCUGACAUGAACUGAAGCCACAAUGUCUCAUGUUUCUGCUCAUCUACUGGCACAUUGGAUGUUUCCCUUCCAAGCACUUCAAAUCCUGUCCUGCCCUGAAGUCAAUCCUCUGAACACCUCAACUCAUGCCUCAUACCCUCAUUCAAUCACUGCUGUGAUCCCUUUCCGACACGGUGGUCCUCCAUCCCUGUGACCGACAUGGUUGGCGUAUGGACACUGGAGAGGACAUGGAUGUCUCGUUUGUCGUGCCACUUUACUGCCAGCUGUUGACCAUUCUCCUUGAACUCAACCUCCCCCUCUGCAUCUUCCUGCUUCCGAAUCCCGGCAUCCCCUUCCUGUUCGACCUGACUGUGCCACAGGUCCCUGUGCCGUUGGAGAGCAGAUGCUGGAAGACUUCUGUACCAAUUGUCCACAUACAAAGUCUCAGGUUGGCUGUAGCAUUGUUGAGGAAAUGCAGGCAUCACAGCAGAACUAGGAAGCGGUCUUGGGAAAAGAGAAGGGUGUUGCAAACAUAGAAUCUGUGGGACCAGUAUUCCCUUAGGGAGUUCUUUUUUACUAUUUCCACGAGAAGGACUGUCACCAGGAAGGUAUACAUUUCACUACUUGUAGUUGUCACCCAUUUAGUGAGUUUCCCCCUUACUCCUCGCUCUCUCUUCUCCUGUAGCUCCAAGGCAUAGUGAUUGGUCUCCUCUGCUAUGUCUCCCACCAGCUCCUCUGUCAGAAACAGCUUGAAGCACUCUGCCUCAGAUGGAAAUGGGAAGGGGAGUUGCUCUCCAGACUGGGACUCAUCAAAGCAAACAGCAGGGCCAGGAGGGGUGAAAUGGCUGGUGGCCUUCCAGCUACCAUAGGCCUCAUGUACUUCAUCCACUGUCGGUCUGCCUCCAUCACCAAUAUCUUCAAAGGGACCAGGGACUUCGUCAGUGGACAAGGGGUCCUCAGAUUCAGGGUUCUCAAUGGCUAGAAGGUUGGGGGGGCAGCUCUUCACUGUCACUGUCAGAAUCUGAUUGCUGACUUUCAGACUCACAGCUGCACCACCGAGAGCAUCCUGACAGGUUGGAUCACCGCCUGGUAUGGCAACUGCUCAGCAUCUGACCAUAAGACGCUACAGAGGGUAGUGCGUACGGCCCAGUACAUCACUGGGGCCAAGCUUCCUGCAAUCCAGGAGGAAAGCCCCAAAAAUUGUCAGAGACCAAGUCACCCAAGUCAUAGACUGUUUUCUCUGCUACCUACAUGUACAAAUUGCCUUGACUAACCUGUACUCCUGCACAUUGUCUCGGUACCGGUACCCCCUGUAUAUAGCCUCGUUAUUGAUAUUUUAUUGUGUUACUUGUUAUUACUUUAGUGUAUUUGGUAAAUAUUUUCUGAACUCUUCUUGAACUGCACUGUUGGUUAAGGGCUUAUAAGUAAGCAUUCACGGUAAGGUCCACACUUGUUGUAGUCGGCACAUUUAACAAAUAAAGUUUGAUAUGAUUUGGUAACUCAA